rnacentral:rRNA from 1 species
AUUGAACGCUGGCGGCAGGCCUAACACAUGCAAGUCGAGCGAGUGGCGGACGGGUGAGUAAUGUCUGGGAAACUGCCUGAUGGAGGGGGAUAACUACUGGAAACGGUAGCUAAUACCGCAUACCAUCAGAUGUGCCCAGAUGGGAUUAGCUUGUUGGUGGGGUAAAGGCUCACCAAGGCGACGAUCCCUAGCUGGUCUGAGAGGAUGACCAGCCACACUGGAACUGAGGCACGGUCCAAACACCUACGAGAGGCAGCAGUGGUGAAUAUUGCACAAUGGGCGCAAGCCGGAUGCAGCCAUGCCGCGUGUAUGAAGAAGGCCUUAGGUGUGUAAAGUACUUUCAGCGGGGAGGCGUUACCCGCAGAAGAAGCACCGGCUAGCUCCGUGCCAGCCGCCGCGGUAAUAC